AUGUUUAAUGAUCUCAUUUUGUUUCAUAAUGCCUUUUGAAAAGGUUUCAGUGUGCAGUCUGCUGAUCCGAAAGAAAGAAGGCGGCUUUUGGAGGACUUGAUCAUCGCGAGUCGAGCUGCUGCUGAACCUCCCCUUCCAACAUCCAGCAGGUUUGUUCUGCAGGCCCCGAUGAUGGCACAGGCAUGAAAGAGCCCAGAGCUCGUCGCUGGGGAGAGGCUGCGUAUGGCGUUGUGAAGGGAGAGAUGGAGGAGGGGUUUGAGCAGCGCUGUGCAGGAAUGAACGGCUGGUAAGAGAAGAGCUGACUUGGAUUUCUUCUGCCACUGUCCCGUGAAGGAGUUGAUUUGCUUCAGUCCAUCCCUGCUCUAUUUGUGGUUCAAGCCAAGCUCCAGUCCCUUCCCCGGUCUCAGUGGGAUCAGUUUGUUCUGUUCUCAUCCACGUACAGAAACAGAAGCUACCAACCCACCAAACCCUGGGACAGGUAUUUCCCUACAGAAGCAUUCAUGUCCUUCUGCUGGCCCUUUGCCCAAUUCCCAGCUCCCCAAACUGAGGCGUACGGCUGAAGCCCACCCCAUGGCUUCUUUGGGGCAGCAGUCGGGCAGCCCCACCCCGAGGAGGAGAUGCCUUUUCCCUGCAUGCAGCUGGUUCUACGUACACAUGGGGUGAGGAGUGGGGCGUGAGUCACAUGGGGGUCCUGCAGGGUCACAGAGUUAGGGGUUGAUGUCGGACUAUGGGGUCAGAUUGCGUUCAGGAUCACAGUGAUGGGGUUAGAUAAGGUGGUAGGGUCAGAUGGGGUGACAUGGAGUUACGGAUCACAUGGGUUGUAUGGUCGGGGUGAGGUGGGGGCAGGGAUCCCAGAGUUAUGGGCCACAUGGCGUUGGGUUGCAGCGUGAUGGGGGCAGGCAGAGUCAGGGAGUCACAGGGUCACGUGGGGGUAUUGUUCCCCCAGGGCUGUGGGUCACAUGCAGCCAUGGGGUCACGCACAUAGAGGGCGAUGAGGUCAUCUUGGGUUAUGGCUCAUGUGGGGUUACGGCUCAGGGCCCCACCUUUGGGCCACAGGGACCCCCAGUCUCCUCUCUGGAUGAAAUGAAACCACUCCAACACUGCCCCACACUCCCUCUCCUCUUUUUACCUUAAACCGCUCCCCACAUACUCCCAUACCCCCUACGUCUCCAUACUACCCCAUGCCCCUGUGUCCCUCCUGCAGACAUCUUGUUUUCUCCUGAACAGCGUUCUGCUCCUGCAGCCCGUUUCUCCAUAUCCCCCAAUGUCCCAAUGUCCCCCACAAACCACCAUAGCUCCUCAAGGACCUUCUCCCGGUACACCUCCCCCCAGCAACCAGGGACCUCACAGAGCACCACAGUACCCAGCAGCACCCCACGGCCCUAACUGGGCUCCCACUGAACCCCCCUGUUUUCUCCCUCAGACCUCCCUUACCCUCUUAGCCCCCCCAGGUUCUCAGACUCCCACAGUCCCUGACAGGACCCCCAUAACCAUACCAGGACACCCAUAGCCCACCAACGAGGAACCCUGCAGCAAUCCACAUCUCCGGAUGGUGCUCCAGCUGUGCACCAAUGCGUUCAUUCAAGAGAGGAGAAUGGAUGAGCGUAAUGGGGCGCCUCUCCUCCUGACAUUGCCCACCGCCUGCGUGUUGGCUGUGCCGUGCCAGCAGCAUUUUGUCCUUGAACUGUGAGUGCAGAAAACGCCGUCCUUUUGCUGAACUUUGCUCAUUGUACACCCGUCAUCACAGCAAAAAACGCUCAGUGCUGCCCUGGGAAACUCAGCAAUCUCCACAGCAUUGCUCUCCAAGUUAGCACGCUCAUGGCCAGGCUUUGUUCCCAGCAGCUCUUUGCACGUGCUUUGCAGACAGUCUGUUUGUGGGCAGUGCAAAGGACUGCUGCAUCCAUUGCAUCACUGGACGGCAGCAUUUGCUGACGGAGCUAUGGCAGUUCUGAGCGAGCGCCGCGAGACCAAUAACGAGGAGGUGGUGCAGCAGCUCUCCGAGUGCCGCUGGACAAAUCAGGCCGUGCGCUCUUUGUGAAUCUAUAAAUUUGACUGGUGUUUAAUGACUACGUUUGAAGGUGGAGUGCUGAGAUGGGCGGCACUCAGUGCUGCCCUGUAACGCCGCGCACUGCAGAAGCUGCUUCCUGCUUAUGCUCCUCCUCUCAGUCCUUCAGCUGCAGCUUCUGCAUCAUCUCCACAAGGCUGUCCACUGCGGAGGCCUGGGAAGAAACGGAGUGAGGGUAGAAACAGGACACCACUUCCCUCGGGAUUUUACAGUCUCUUCCUUUCAUGUGUGACAGACAGAGGCCCUGAGAACAACAAGAGCCGUGUCUGUGUUCACCAAGGACUCACCUCUGCACGUGCAGCAGCAGCUCUGAGGGCAGCCUUCUUCAGCUCCACUCUCCUCUCUUUCUGUCGCUGUCUUCUUGCUAUAA